rnacentral:lncRNA from 1 species
UGAGGUUUGGCUCCAUCACUGCCGCUCUCGUUGCUGUAAUCUUUGUUGGUGCAAACUUCAUUCCAAGCAUGUGGGAUGCUUUCCAACUCACUGGAGCUACAACUUCUGUCUGCAUCGGUUUCAUAUUCCCUGCUGCUGUCAUCUUGAAGUAAGUCCCCAUUGUUUCUCAUAACAGACUGGUUUUGGAACCUAAUGGAUGAUUUUACCUGAGUGUGUGUAUCUCUUCAGGGGUCGUCAUAACCGAGCAACAAAGAUGGACAAGACUGUAGCCAUUUUCGUGAUUGUCCUUGCGGUUUUCUCCAGUGCAAUCGCCCUUUACAGUGACGCUUACGCCUUAGUCAAGAAGAACAAAAUCC